AAACACUGUCUUAAUAAACCAUCUCCUCCACCUUCUUUAUUUUGUAAGCAGAAGUGGAAAUGGGUAGGCGAAGACAGGCGACUUGCUAAAGGUCACCCGGCUGCCAUUCAGACUCGCGAGUGUUCAGCACUUUCCACUGUCCUUGGAAGAUUCACACUGGUCUUGCUGCCUCUUUUUUUUUUUUUUUUUUUUUUUUCUCUUUCAGCAGAAUGGUUGGAGGUAGUGGAGUGUGGGAGGAAGGGGAGAGAGUCUAGAGAGAAAGCCCCUGAAAAGGACCCAGUGACUAGGAAGGGAAGAAGAGUCUACUGCUCUUUCUAUGCUCGCGCGGCAGGGACCCUGACAUCAGAGGCUCUGAUGGCCCGAGGCUGCGUUGGAGAGGAAAUAAAUGAGCCUGCCCUACUUCCAGUCUCUAGCAGUCUACGUGCAGCACGGAACCUGGGCAGGGCAAGACGGGUGUGGACGGCCGACCUCUAGUGGCCGGGAGUGAGAGGUGCAUCGCCUGCUAUGCUGAGAGCCUGGAAAGCAGAGUGACAUCGCGGGGUCGAUGUGUCCAGCCCAUGCUGGGGGGAAACUCAAAGCAAACGCAUUGCGCUGAACAGACUGGAUGGGGAGACAGCAACAUCAGUGUUCAGCUUGUUAGUGCUGUUUAGCCAGCCUGGAGUCGUGAGUAUGACCGGAAGUGGAGGAGGCCGGGACCAAGACUGGAGGGAUGGGACCUCCCUCCAAGGGCUCGUCCUUACUGUCAGGAAUACAUAGCGGCUCGCCACACAGUCCAGGGCUUCGACAGAAGAACGUCUCGAAGACUUCAUGUGAAGCCUCUCAAUGUCUAAACGUUGGGCCAACUUUUAAAAACGUUAUAGGGAUCAAAAAUUUGACCUGUGGUUUGUCCCGUCACAGUUCAGGUUGACCACGUUUAUUAUGGAAAAAAGAGUUUUAUCACACUCCAUGAAGUAGAUGUGUUAGACUACAACGCUUCUGGUGUGCGGAAAGCAACGACUUCCCUGGCUGUUUUUCAUUUCCGUCCAAUGGGUGCUUUGGAAAGAGCUUGGGCCCAGGCCCCAGAGGCCCCUUGCACCCAUUGUCUCAGCCUCGCAUUAACAAGUUGGCAUCCCCUUUCUGAGCCUCUUUUCUCAAGGGCAGUAUUGGCAAUCUCAUUCGAGGUCUCAUUUUAGCUCAAAAAUUCCAUGAUUCCUAAGGCACCACUUGGAUCCAAGAUUCUGUGAUUCUCAUUCCCAGGUGUCAGGGGCUGUGUCACCUCCCAGGAGGCACAGAGAGACUUUGUUUUUUUUUUUGUGCUGGCUACCUGCAAUCCCUUCACAGAGGCUGUGACGUGCAGCAGUGCCACAGUUACCCUUGGCCACAUGUUAGAACACUGUGGAGAGUUCUUCACCAAACGCAAUGCCAGGUCCGUUCCCAGCCACCCAGUUGCAUUGAAACAGACUCAGAGGAUGGGUUGCAGGCAGUGGGAGUGUUUUUAUGAAUCCCUGAGUGAUUCUCAAAUGCAUUAAGGUUGGCAGCCAGUGGUGCAGGUAGAAGCAGGCUUUUAGCCCAGUCUGGAAUGCCAGAGACUCAGACAACAGCAAACCAUGCUGGAGCCCAAGGCAAUAAGAGAAGAGCAGUCCCUGGUACACACUCAACACAUCCUCUCCUAUUUUGAUCCAAGUAGGAAAAGUUAAUAAAUUUCCACAAUCUGAAAUGUGACCA
ensembl:lncRNA